CAGAGCGUGGGAAGAAAAGGGGGCCUGGGGCAGCCCAGGCAUGUGGGGACCAGGGGUUGUGUCCACCAUGGCCUGGACUCCUCUCCUCCUCGUGCUCCUCUCUCACUGCACAGGUUCCCUGUCCCAGCCUGUGCUGACCCAGCCGCCCUCCCUCUCUGCAUCUCCUGGAGCAUCUGCCAGACUCACCUGCGCCCUGAGCAGUGGCUUCAGUGUUGGUGACUUCAGGAUAACCUGGUUACAGCAAGAGCCUGGAGGCCCUCCCCACUAUCUCCUGAACUACUACUCAGACUCCGACAAGCACCAGGGCUCCGGGGUCCCCAGCCGCUUCUCUGGAUCCAAGGACACCUCGGCCAAUGCAGGAGUUCUGCACAUCUCUGGGCUGCAGCCUGAGGACGAGGCCCACUAUUACUGUACGACUUAUCAUGGAGGUGCUGGUGUUUACACGAUGCUUCCCACACAUGGGAAGUGAGACUAAAACCUCCCCUGUGCUCUCCCUGCCCGGAGCCCUCAAUCGU